GGGCCCGGAAGGGUGAUGUGGCUGGGGCUUCGCCGGCCUCACUAUGUCUGCCAUUUUCAAUUUUCAGAGUCUGUUGACUGUGAUCUUGCUGCUUAUAGGUACCUGUGCUUAUAUCCGAUCCUUGGCACCCAGCCUCCUGGACAGAAAUAAAACUGGAUUGUUGGGUACAUUUUGGAAGUGUGCCAGAAUUAGUGAACGGAAGAGUCCUUAUGUUGCAAUAUGCUGUAUAGUGAUGGCCUUCAGCAUCCUUUUCAUACAGUAGCUUGGGAAAAUGCCAGAAUUUUAUUGUCAUCAGAUUUCAGUAUGAAAAAAAAGGACUUAGCUGCAGAAAAUAAUGGAAAGAAGGGUUAACCCAUUUAUCUCUGAACAUUGAAUGAGAUAAAUUUCCAGCUGCUGUUCUCUAUUUUUGUUAUUGGACCAAUGUUCUAUAUAAAUAAUUAGGAUGUAACCAUUUGCUACUCAAAGAGUUUAAUAUGUCUGUAACAAUCAGCCUCAGUACUGUCACUACAAUAUUACAUUCUGCAAA